AUUGCUGAGGAGCGUUGCGACUACCGCACUGGUUUUUUAGUGGCUGGUUCCAGGCUCAGCAAGGGUACGAAGGUGACGGGUGUUCCCGUUUUCCACAACUGCCCCAAGAAUCAACGACGCUCGCAUCCG
rnacentral:ncRNA from 2 species